GAUGAACGCUGGCGGCGUGCCUAGUACAUGCAAGUCGAGCGAACGGACGAGAAGCUUGCUUCUCUGAUGUUAGCGGCGGACGGGUGAGUAACACGUGGAUAACCUACCUAUAAGACUGGGAUAACUUCGGGAAACCGGAGCUAAUACCGGAUAAUAUUUUGAACCGCAUGGUUCGAAAGUGAAAGACGGUCUUGCUGUCACUUAUAGAUGGAUCCGCGCUGCAUUAGCUAGUUGGUAAGGUAACGGCUUACCAAGGCAACGAUGCAUAGCCGACCUGAGAGGGUGAUCGGCCACACUGGAACUGAGACACGGUCCAGACUCCUACGGGAGGCAGCAGUAGGGAAUCUUCCGCAAUGGGCGAAAGCCUGACGGAGCAACGCCGCGUGAGUGAUGAAGGUCUUCGGAUCGUAAAACUCUGUUAUUAGGGAAGAACAUAUGUGUAAGUAACUGUGCACAUCUUGACGGUACCUAAUCAGAAAGCCACGGCUAACUACGUG
rnacentral:rRNA from 1 species